rnacentral:rRNA from 1 species
GUCUGCUUGUUAUAAAAAGCAGUCUAACCUGCCCACUGAUUUUUUUUAAAGGCCGCGGUACCCUGACCGUGCGAAGGUAGCAUAAUAAUUAGUCUUUUAAUUGAAGACUGGAAUGAAUGGUUGGACAAAAAGCGUUCUGUCUCAAUUUUAGAAAUUGAAAUUAACUUUUGAGUGAAAAGGCUUAAAUAUUCUAAAAGGACGAUAAGACCCUAUAAAACUUUAUAUUUUAAAUGGUAUAUUCUUAUUUAUAUAUAUAAAGGUAUAUACAAUUUCAUGUAUUGCGUUGGGGAGACGAGAGUAAAACAAAUAACUGCUCUUUUUUAUAACAAUUAUAUUUGGCUAUUAAUAGACCCUUUUUUAAGAUUUUAAGAUAAAGUUACUUUAGGGAUAACAGCGUUAUUUUUUUUGAGAGUCCAUAUCGACAAAAAAGUUUGCGACCUCGAUGUUGAAUUAAAGUGGCCUUAUAGUGCAGCAAUUAUAAAGGUAGGUCUGUUCGACCUUUAAAACUUUACAUGAUUUGAGUUCAAACCGGCGCGAG